UCUUUAAUGUGUGUUCAAAAAGGGGGUUAUAUUGUUACACAAUUCAAGUUUUCAAGGUCAACAUUCCAACAUCCACCGAGCAAGUUCUUCACCCUCCUCCCUCUUAUAAAUUUCCUGUCCCACUACCCUUUCUACGUAAUAGUUAUCUGCCGCGUUAUAAAGUUGGCACAGUUUUACAUGUACAUUUUACAUUUAUUUUCUUUAAUUAAAAAUGAAUUGUUACGUUAGUGGAGUGUUGCCUAGAUUUGGUGCAUGGGCAUUUUUCACUGCUGGUAUUGGGGCUGUGGGAAUUGCGUCGUACGCCUACAGCAGAUGGUGUAAGAAAAAAGAAUCACUGGAAUCAUCCAAGAAAAAAAUUCUUCUGGACAACAACAUCAAAAUUAGCAAACAAUGAACAAUACUGUGAAAUGUUCUAAAUCAGAAAUAAAAUUUGGCCACCUGCAAAAAUUACUGUUGAUUACAAUUUCUAAAAUUUA